GUGAGGAAUAUUGGUCAAUGGACGAGAGUCUGAACCAGCCAAGUCGCGUGAAGGAAGACGGUUCUAUGAAUUGUAAACUUCUUUUGUGCAGGAAUAAAGUGGGUUACGUGUAACCUUUUGUAUGUACUGUACGAAUAAGGAUCGGCUAACUCCGUGCCAGCAGCCGCGGUAAUACGGAGGAUCCGAGCGUUAUCCGGAUUUAUUGGGUUUAAAGGGUGCGUAGGUGGAUUGAUAAGUCAGCGGUGAAAGUUUGCAGCUUAACUGUAAAAUUGCCGUUGAAACUGUCGGUCUUGAGUGCAAAUGAGGUAGGCGGAAUGUGUUGUGUAGCGGUGAAAUGCUUAGAUAUAACACAGAACUCCGAUUGCGAAGGCAGCUUACUGGGAUGCAACUGACACUGAAGCACGAAAGCGUGGGGAUCAAACAGGAUUAGAAACCCGUGUAGUCC
rnacentral:rRNA from 1 species